rnacentral:rRNA from 1 species
CGGCGUGCCUAAUACAUGCAAGUCGAACGCAUUGUGGUUGAAAUGAUAUGAAGAACUUGUUCAGAUUUGAUUUUCAACAUUGCAAUGAGUGGCGAACGGGUGAGUAACACGUGGGAAACCUACCUCUUAGCAGGGAUAACAUUUGGAAACAAAUGCUAAUACCGUAUAAUAAUUAAAACCGCAUGGUUUUAGUUUAAAAGAUGGUCUUGCUAUCACUAAGAGAUGGUCCCGCGGUGUAUUAGUUAGUUGGUGAGGUAAUGGCUCACCAAGACAAUGAUACAUAGCCGAGUUGAGAGACUGACCGGCCACAAUGGGACUGAGACACGGCCCAUACUCCUACGGGAGGCAGCAGUAGGGAAUCUUCCACAAUGGACGAAAGUCUGAUGGAGCAACGCCGCGUGUGUGAUGAAGGGUUUCGGCUCGUAAAACACUGUUGUAAGAGAAGAAUGACAUUGAGAGUAACUGUUCAAUGUGUGACGGUAUCUUACCAGAAAGGAACGGCUAAAUACGUG